UUCGAGACUAGUCUGGGCAAUAUGGUA
rnacentral:piRNA from 1 species